UACGUAGGGGGCAAGCGUUGUCCGGAAUUAUUGGGCGUAAAGAGCGCGUAGGCGGUCCGAUAAGUCGGCUGUGAAAGUCAGGGGCUCAACCCUUGAAAGCCGGCCGAUACUGUCGGACUAGAGUCCGGAAGAGGCAAGUGGAAUUCCCGGUGUAGCGGUGAAAUGCGCAGAUAUCGGGAGGAACACCCGUGGCUAAGGCGGCUCUCUAGUACGGUACUGACGCUGAGACGCGAAAGCGUGGGGAGCGAACAGG
rnacentral:rRNA from 1 species